CCUACGGGGUGCAGCAGUCGAGAAUCAUUCACAAUGGGGGAAACCCUGAUGGUGCGACGCCGCGUGGGGGAAUGAAGGUCUUCGGAUUGUAAACCCCUGUUAUGUGGGAGCAAAUUAAAAAGAUAGUACCACAAGAGGAAGAGACGGCUAACUCUGUGCCAGCAGCCGCGGUACUACAGAGGCGUCAAGCGUUGUUCGGAAUCACUGGGCGUAAAGGGUGCGGAGGCUGUUUUGUAAGUCGUGUGUGAAAGGCGCGGGCUCAACCCGCGGACGGCACAUGAUACUGCGAGACUAGAGUAGUGGAGGGGGAACCGGAAUGCUCGGUGUAGCAGUGAAAUGCGUAGAUAUCG
rnacentral:rRNA from 1 species